AGUGGAUGGGGAGCAACAAAAGUUGUGUGUGUGUAAAGGUAGUGCCAAGAAAAGCUGAGUUGAUGUUGAACAAAAGAUUCCGGUACCCGAAACCGACACAGGUAGGCAAGUAGAGAAUACUAAGGGGCGCGAGGUAACUCUCUCCAAGGAACUCUCAAAAUGACCCCGUAACUUCGGGAGAAGGGGUGCCACCGAGAGGUGGUCGCAGUGGAGAAGUCCCAGGCGACUGUUUAGCAAAAACAUAGGUCUCUGCAAACUCGAAAGAGGAGGUAUAGGGGCUGACGCCUGCCCAGUGCCGGAAGGUUAAAGAAGUUGGUCAGUCGAAAGAUGAAGCUAACGACUGAAGCCCCGGUGAACGGCGGCCGUAACUAUAACGGUCCUAAGGUAGCGAAAUUCCUUGCCGGGUAAGUUCCGACCCGCACGAAAGGCGUAACGAUCUGGGAGCUGUCUCGGAGAGAGGCUCGGCGAAAUAGGAUUGUCUGUGAAGAUACGGACUACCUGCAUUUGGACAGAAAGACCCUAUGAAGCUUUACUGUAGCUUGGAAUUGUGUUCGGGCUUGCUGUGCGCAGGAUAGGUGGGAGGCUAUGAAGGUAUGCUUGUGGGUGUACUGGAGCCGUCAGUGAGAUACCACUCUCAGGGGGCUAGAAUUCUAACUAAAGAAAGGACAGUUUCAGGUGGGCAGUUUGACUGGGGCGGUCGCCUCCAAAAAGGUAACGGAGGCGUACAAAGGUUCCUUCAGACUGGUUGGAAAUCAGUCGCAGAGUGCAAAGGCAGAAAGGAGCUUGACUGCGAGAAUUACAGUUCGAGCAGGGUGGAAACACGGUCUUAGUGAUCCGACGGUGCUGUGUGGAAGGGCCGUCGCUCAACGGAUAAAAGUUACUCUAAGGAUAACAGGCUGAUCUCCCCCAAGAGUUCACAUCGACGGGGAGGUUUGGCACCUCGAUGUCGGCUCAUCGCAACCUGGGGCGGAAGUACGUCCCAAGGGUUGGGCUGUUCGCCCAUUAAAGCGGUACGUGAGCUGGGUUCAGAACGUCGUGAGACAGUUUGGUCCAUAUCCGAUGUAGGCGAGAGAAUAUUGAGAGAAGCCUUCCUUAGUACGAGAGGACCGGGAAGGACGCACCGCUGGUGUACCUGUUAUGAUGCCAAUUGUAAACGCAGGGUAGCCAAGUGCGGAGAGGAUAACCGCUGAAAGCAUCUAAGUGGGAAGCCCACCUCAAGAUGAGUAUUCUGUGUUAAGGUCACGGGAAGACGACCCGUAAAUAGGCACGAGGUGGAAGUACAGUAAUGUAUGUAGCCGAAGUGUACUAAUAGACCGUCAGCUUGACC
rnacentral:rRNA from 1 species